UACGUAGGGUGCAAGCGUUAAUCGGAAUUACUGGGCGUAAAGCGCGCGUAGGUGGUUCAGUAAGUUGGAAGUGAAAUCCCCGGGCUCAACCUGGGAACUGCCUUUGUGACUGCAAGGCUAGAGUACGGCAGAGGGGGGUGGAAUUCCGCGUGUAGCAGUGAAAUGCGUAGAUAUGCGGAGGAACACCGAUGGCGAAGGCAACCCCCUGGGCCUGUACUGACGCUCAUGCACGAAAGCGUGGGGAGCAAACAGG
rnacentral:rRNA from 1 species